rnacentral:ncRNA from 1 species
AUAAUGAUACUCCUACAUAGCCGUAAUCCGUGUAAUGGAAUGUACCGCAGGUAUCGGGUGUAGCUGCAUGAGAACCAUGCGGGGGUGAGAUUCCCGUG